rnacentral:rRNA from 1 species
GACGAGGGCGCGAGCGUUGUCCGGAUUUAUUGGGCGUAAAGAGCUCGUAGGCGGCUUGUCGCGCCGACUGUGAAAUCCCGCGGCUCAACCGCGGGUCUGCAGUCGAUACGGGCAGGCUAGAGUUCGGUAGGGGAGACUGGAAUUCCUGGUGUAGCGGUGAAAUGCGCAGAUAUCAGGAGGAACACCGAUGGCGAAGGCAGGUCUCUGGGCCGAUACUGACGCUGAGGAGCGAAAGCGUGGGGAGCGAACAGG